rnacentral:rRNA from 1 species
AUUGAACGCUGGCGGCAGGCCUAACACAUGCAAGUCGAACGAGUGGCGGACGGGUGAGUAAUGUCUGGGAAACUGCCCGAUGGAGGGGGAUAACUACUGGAAACGGUAGCUAAUACCGCAUACCCUCGGAUGUGCCCAGAUGGGAUUAGGUAGUAGGUGGGGUAACGGCUCACCUAGGCGACGAUCCCUAGCUGGUCUGAUAGGAUGACCAGCCACACUGGAACUGAGACCCGGGCCAGACUCCUACGGGAGGCAGCAGUGGGGAAUAUUGCACAAUGGGCGCAAGCCUGAUGCAGCCAUGCCGCGUGUAUGAAGAAGGCCUUCGGGUUGUAAAGUACUUUCAGCGAGGAGGCGUUACUCGCAGAAUAAGCACCGGCUAACUCCGUGCCAGCAGCCGCGGUAAUUC